AAUACAUUUAAGGUCCUCCUGUAACGAUAUUACAUACAACUUUCCAUCUUUGCUUCCCCAUCAUGUGAAGGAACUGACUCCGAAUCUAUUUCUGCAAAGGGCGAUAUCGUAACUCCUAUACAGGAGAGUUACAGAUCUAAAUAUAUGUUGCUCACGUGACACUGAUUUGGACGGAAACGUCGAGAGUAACGUUCGCAAAAAAUAAAACAGCCAAUGAUAUUGAUUCCUCAAGUCCUUUGAAC
rnacentral:lncRNA from 1 species